UUUACAACAAUCGUAGUCUCUAGCUUCGUGUCAUUGAAAGUUUGAUACUUUUGUCGCUUAACUUCUAUUUCUUGUUAGAGAUUGGUUUAGUGCUUAGUCUGAGAGAAUUUCAAGCUCUUGUAUUGCUCUUAACUUCUAGAAGAUCAUAUUGGUGCUGACAUAGUAGAUAUGGAAGCUUAAAGUUCAAUUCUUUUGGAUACAGAUUCGUCUCUUUUAUAAAGGUUGUCCCUUUUUGUAUAUUUAGAUUAGUUUUCUAAUAUAAAUUUGAUACCGAGGAUUCUGCAUUUGGAUGUUUGUUGUAGUUGUUUAAGUGAUGAAAAGCUCGUGACUUUUGGUUUCUCUUGUCAAAGCUGAUCCACAGACCAAACCUAUGGAUUCUCCACAGCUCUUGUCAAAAUUUAUUAUUCAUCGUUGUUCUAGUUUUGGAGAAUUGAGUUUAUAUUUUUGUUCCUGCAGGUCAUUUAUCGGAUUAAGCUACCAGGACCUGCAAUAAUAGGAGAGUUCUGUUGCCUGUUAACAAGAGAGGACUGUUACAUUCCCCAAAACCUGAUUUCUGUCAGAAAGUAUCAAGCUUUGAGCUUGAUGAUUCUCUAGUUCAUUGUGUUCUUCCAAGAUUUGAGGUAGAAGAUAGAGUAGUUCAAAGAGAGGAAGUUCGCAGAGAAUGUGGUAAAGGUUUCACUUCUUCUAAAGCUCUUUGUGGUCACAUGGCUUGUCACUUUGAGAGAGAGAAGAGGGUGUCAUGUUCUCAUUUUUUUCAGGUCAAGAAGAGUGUAAAGUCGUUAGUCAUCAGUCACGAACUUGUGUAGUAAUCACUUGUGCAAUGCUUACGUACUAACUCUUGUAAUUUGUAUUCUUGCAAACUCUUGUAGUCAUCAGUCAGGACUUGUAAAGCUUUGUGUCUAUAUAAACUUGUGAACUCUUGUAGUCUUUGUUAUUAUGUUUUUUUUUCCGAAUUAUUCUCGAUUAUUGUACUAAUCUUUGUUAUUA